GCGGGAGAGAUAACCGCUGAAAGCAUCUAAGCGGGAAACUUGCCUUGAGAUGAGUCUUCCCUUGACUUUAGGUCACGGAAGGAACGUUUAAGACGAAGACGUGGAUAGGCUGGGUGUGUAAGUGCAGUGAUGCAUUGAGCUGACCAGUACUAAUGAACCGAGCGGCUUAACCUUACAACACCGAAGGGGUUUUG
rnacentral:rRNA from 1 species